ensembl:lncRNA
CAAGCUGGAUCAAUCUUAGUUCCAAUGCAGCGGCAGUUUGUUGCCAAGGAUUAUAGGUUUGAUGUGGCUUCAUUGAUCAAGCAGGUCGCCAGUCUACGUAAGACUGUGUAAUGUUUACCUUUUCUAAGCCUGUGGCUGGACAAUGUUUGGGCUUGAUGGAUGUAUCGUCGCAUUGCCAUUUGUCUUUUUCCCAAAAUGCUGGUGUUACCUUGAGUAUGAUCAACAGGGGAGCAAUCUCCUUCCUCUCCUCCCCCAUCUGAUAGCGGAGUCGAAGGAGAACAGCAGGAGGAGCAUGCCAAUCAACGAGCCGUCAGCAACCUUCCGUCCCUCCUCUAGUUCGAGCAGGGCCUCUUCAUCUGUCGGAGGCCUGCACCAGAUGCCGGGAGUUAUGGCCUCAAGUUAUUCUGCCUCUCGCCCGUCCUUUAAGGGUUCUCCGAAUCCUGUGAAGUGUGGGAGUGUUGAUUUUCUCAUCCUUCUCGCCAGCCGGGAUUUUGGGCAGCUACGUGCCCUGCCACAAAAGGACCAGCUGACAUCAUGUCAGUGAUUCUCUCGUUAACACAGGUGUGAAUGUUGAUGAGGACAAGGCUGGAGAUCACUCUGUCAUGCUGAUUGAGUUCGAAUAACAGACUGGAAGCUUCAAAAGGAGGGUGGUCCUUGGAAUCGUUGUUCUUCCUCUGUCAACAAUGGUUACCUGCAAUGAAACAUUUGCCGCCUAUGAACCAGAGUUAUACUGUUAGAACUGAGGAGUAGUAGAAAGUUAGAAGUCCACUGUGUGCAGCUCAUGAUUAUAACAUUGGCAGAAAAGUAAAAAACCAACGGUGGAAGUGUUGGUGUUUAUAUUCAGAACCACUUUCCUGUAAAGCUUGGAGAGGAUAUCUUGUUAAAUACUGUUGAAGUGAUAUAGCUACAGUUUCAUCUGCCUCAAGUAAAGCCCGAUUAUUGUGGGAAGAUGUUAUAGACCACCAACUGCUAACAAUCAGAAUCUGGAUAAUGUGUGAAAUGCAUGUAAUAUCAAUUGAGAGGUAUAUUUUCUGGGUGAAAUAUUGACUCGCUUUCAUCAAGCUGCCCACUCAAGAAAAAGCUUCAAACUCUAACCAGUGCCUGCAACCUGGUUCAGUCAACCUACCAGGGAAGUUACAAACAGACAAGGAAUGAAAUCAUCAACAUGUAUUGGGGCGGCAGGGUAGCCUAGUGGUUAGGGUGUUGGACUAGUAACCGGAAGGUUGCAAGUUCAAAUCCCCAAGCUGACAAUUUGUCAUUCUGCCCCUGAACAGGCAGUUAACCCACUGUUCCUAGGCUGUCAUUGAAAAUAAGAAUUUGUUCUUAACUGACUUGCCUAGUUAAAUACAGGUAAAAUAAAAAUUGAUCAAAUCUUUAAUAAUGCUGCAGAAAUUAGCUUUAAAGCUAUAUUCAAAAUCAUCGGCUAUACUGAUCACAAUAUAGUAGACAUAUUUAGUAAAACCACAUUUCCAAAGGCUGGGCCUAAUAUAGUGUAUAAGAGGUCAUUUUGUAGUGAUUCCUAUGUUGAAUGUUUCCUGGUCUGGUGUGUAAUGAGGAGCAACCAGACGCUGCACUUGACACAUUUAUGAAAUUGCUUAUUCCACUUUCUAAUAAGCAUGCAUCCAUUAAUAAAAUGACUAAAAACAGUUAAAUCACAGUUGAUUGAUGAAUUAAAACAUUGUAUGGUUGAGAGGGAUGAGACAAAAGGAAUGGCAAAUGGCUGACCAAUCAGCCUGUUACGAAACCUUAGUAAACUUUUGAAAAAAAUUAUGUUUGCCAAGAUAUAAUGCUAUUUUACAGUAAACAAAUUGACAGACUUUCAGCACAAUUAUAGGGAAGCACAUUCAACAAGCACGGCACUUACAUAAAUGGCUGAUGAUUGGCUGAGAGAAAUUGAUGAUAAAAGAUUGUGGUAGCUGUUUUGUUGGACUUCAGUGCGAAGUUUGACAUUAUCGAUCAUAGUCUGCUGCUGGAAAAACGUAUGUGUAAUGGCUUUAAACCCCCUGCUAUAUUGUGAAUAAAGAGUUACCUGUCUAACAGAACACAGAGGGUGUUCUUCAAUGAAAGACUCUCUAACAUAAUCCAGGUAGAAUCAGGAACUCCCAGGAGCAGCUGUC